CAGCCUUUUAAAGACAGUAGGAUGCCAAAGAACCUGUCAAUGUACUGGGAUUAAAUGUGUGUGCCACCACCUGGAUGACCUGAAUUGUUACUCAUUCUGGAUAGGCUGACCAGUUGUCUGGUGGUUACUGCUACUGAUCCAUCCCAACUGCUGGACUUCUCCUUCAUACCCAAGGCCUCCAGGCAGUAUCUAUGUGGAGUCAACACUAAAAGGGAGCAGACACCAUUUCCCAGGCCCUUUAUUCUGGUGACUGAUGGAAGAGUGGGAGGGCAAUAUAUUUACUUGUUUAAUGGGUGGAAAAACAGAUCAAGGUACUGUACCUCUUCAGUUUCUAUUCUGAGUUCUGCAACUAUGCCACUUGGAUUGUAUAUAUUGGGGGAGGUUGAAAAUGUGUCUUUCAUUAGAAGUGUCUUGAGGGGA
rnacentral:lncRNA from 1 species